rnacentral:rRNA from 1 species
GUGGGGAAUAUUGGACAAUGGGCGAAAGCCUGAUCCAGCCAUGCCGCGUGUGUGAAGAAGGCCUUCGGGUUGUAAAGCACUUUAAGCGAGGAGGAAGGUUCGUCACCUAAUACGUGACGGAGUUGACGUUACUCGCAGAAUAAGCACCGGCUAACUCUGUGCCAGCAGCCGCGGUAAUACAGAGGGUGCAAGCGUUAAUCGGAAUUACUGGGCGUAAAGCGCGCGUAGGCGGUUGUGUAAGUUGGAUGUGAAAUCCCCGGGCUUAACCUGGGCAAUGCAUUCAAAACUGCACGGCUAGAGUAUUGGAGAGGAAGGUAGAAUUCCAGGUGUAGCGGUGAAAUGCGUAGAGAUCUGGAGGAAUACCGAUGGCGAAGGCAGCCUUCUGGCCAAAUACUGACGCUGAGGUGCGAAAGCAUGGGGAGCAAACAGGAUUAGAAACCCCAGUAGUCC